GAGGAGGAAGCAGAAAAAGUUUGGAGAGAAAUUUGUACCUCUCUUUUCUAACAAAAAGAAAACUAAAAUGCGUAUAUUACACAUACAAGGGAAGAACUGAUGCAGUUUGCUGGAGGACACAGGAAGUAACCUACACAUCCUGGCUGGCUUGUGGGAUAUUAUAGAAACCAAGGAUAUUGGUGUUAACUCAACACAGGGCAACGACCCAUAAAAAACAAAACUGCUGGUCUGGUGAAAGACUCUUUGAAUAGGAGGCGACAAGCUGGCAUGCUGUUUGAAAGAGAAGAAAGCAGAGACCUUCAGGAUCUACAGCCAUGCUCUCCUACUGCAGAGAGCUGCAUCGAUUGCCUCUACAGCACCAUUCCACUCAUUGGCUGGCAGUGACAUCACUUUAAUGUCUCCCGCUUUCCAGGGGAGGACAGGAGACCUUGAAAAGUAGCUGAUAAGCAAACGCAGUAAGACGUGCCAGUUUUGUGUUCAUUGCCUCCCUGUCGCUUCCACACACUCACACAAUACAAUGACCUGGAACCUGCAGUCAGCUUUUCUUGUUAAAAAAAACACUGAAAUAUCAUACUUUGGAGUCUGUUUCCCACAGUAUUCUAAAGUUUAGCCUUCUGUUCGCUGAAUGUUGCUCAGGAAGCAGACCUUGUUGACCAGUUUACAGUUUGUUUGUUUGUUUAUAUACAGCUAUGGCCAAAAGUUUUGCAUCACCCUUUAGAAUUAAUACAUUUUGCUUCAUAAAGUUGAAUGAAGCUUGCUGAAUAAUGUUAUGUUAACAUAUUGAAUUACACACCGCUUUGUAGUUUUCCCAUAUACUUCAAAAAGUGACAACAAUUGAAAAAUGUGACAUUUCGAAAUCUAACAUGACAUACUGUACUGCUAUUCUGGCUUCCGGCAGAAUUUUGCAAUAUCAUUUUGUAGU